rnacentral:rRNA from 2 species
GAAACCCUGAUGCAGCGAUGCCGCGUGAGCGAUGAAGGUCUUCGGAUCGUAAAGCUCUGUCCUUAGGGAAGAAUUUUGACGGUACCUAAGGAGGAAGCCCCGGCUAACUACGUGCCAGCAGCCGCGGUAAUACGUAGGGGGCGAGCGUUGUCCGGAAUCACUGGGCGUAAAGGGAGCGUAGGCGGCUUUGUAAGUCAGAUGUUAAAGCCAUUGGCUUAACCAAUGUAAGCAUUUGAAACUACAAAGCUUGAGUACAGGAGAGGAGAGUGGAAUUCCUAGUGGAGCGGUGAAAUGCGUAGAUAUUAGGAGGAACACCAGUGGCGAAGGCGACUCUCUGGACUGUUACUGACGCUGAGGCUCGAAAGCGUGGGGAGCGAACAGGAUUAGAUACCCUGGUAGUCC